GGACUCUUAGCUUAAUGGUAAAGCAAACGCCUCAUAAGCGUUGGAGUGUAGGUUCAAUCCCUACAGAGUCCAU
rnacentral:tRNA from 1 species